GCAAGUGUGGUGUAGUGGUUUGAGUGUUGAACUAUGACUCUGGAGACCAGGGUUCAAAUCCCAGCUCAGCCA